GAGUGAAAUGAUGGCAUACCAUCUUUCGGGACUGACCCUUAAAUGGAGAUACCUUUUUGUAUAUUACUGAUCACUC